UGAGGAAUAUUGGUCAAUGGACGCAAGUCUGAACCAGCCAUGCCGCGUGCAGGAUGACGGCCCUAUGGGUUGUAAACUGCUUUUGUAUGGGAAGAAACCCCCGAUCGUGAUCGGGGCUGACGGUACUGUACGAAUAAGCAUCGGCUAACUCCGUGCCAGCAGCCGCGGUAAUACGGAGGAUGCAAGCGUUAUCCGGAUUUAUUGGGUUUAAAGGGUGCGUAGGCGGGGUAGCAAGUCAGUGGUGAAAGUCUGCAGCUUAACUGUAGAAUUGCCGUUGAUACUGUUACUCUUGAAUUCAGUUGAGGUAGGCGGAAUGUGUAAUGUAGCGGUGAAAUGCAUAGAUAUUACACAGAACACCGAUUGCGUAGGCAGCUUGCUAAACUGAGAUUGACGCUGAGGCACGAAAGCGUGGGGAGCAAACAGGAUUAGAUACCCUGGUAGUCCACGCCGUAAACGAUGAUUACUGGAUGUGUGCGAUACACUGUACGCGUCUGAGCGAAAGCAUUAAGUAAUCCACCUGGGGAGUACGAUCGCAAGAUUG
rnacentral:rRNA from 1 species